rnacentral:lncRNA from 1 species
AACAACAAAUCCGUCAUCAUAAGCUUCAUGAAAACUAUCAUGGGACUGCAGACUACAAUGUUCUAGUAAGAAAGCAAAGAGUUGCAAGGAGAAUGGCUUUUCAUCGCUCAGUGCAUUCCAACAAAGCUUUAAUCUUUCUUCAAAGGACACAACCGCGAUGAGAGGAAACAAACACUGAAGCCUUGAAGAUGAAGAUUUGAAGCAUACACUAAACCAGUCCUUGGGUUGUUAGAUUUGAAGAUGAAGUUUGAAGCCUUGU